rnacentral:rRNA from 1 species
AUUGAACGCUGGCGGCAUGCCUUACACAUGCAAGUCGAACGGUAACAGGUCUUCGGAUGCUGACGAGUGGCGAACGGGUGAGUAAUACAUCGGAACGUGCCUAGUAGUGGGGGAUAACUACUCGAAAGAGUGGCUAAUACCGCAUGAGAUCUACGGAUGAAAGCAGGGGAUCGCAAGACCUUGUGCUACUAGAGCGGCCGAUGGCAGAUUAGGUAGUUGGUGGGAUAAAAGCUUACCAAGCCGACGAUCUGUAGCUGGUCUGAGAGGACGAUCAGCCACCCUGGGACGGAGACCCGGCCCAGACUCCUACGGGAGGCAGCAGUGGGGAAUUUUGGACAAUGGGCGCAAGCCUGAUCCAGCAAUGCCGCGUGCAGGAUGAAGGCCUUCGGGUUGUAAACUGCUUUUGUACGGAACGAAAAGCCCUGGGUUAAUACCCUGGGGUCAUGACGGUACCGUAAGAAUAAGCACCGGCUAACUACGUGCCAGCCGCCGCAGUAAAAC